rnacentral:rRNA from 1 species
GGGUUGUGAGGUUAAGCGACUAAGCGUACACGGUGGAUGCCCUGGCAGUCAGAGGCGAUGAAGGGCGUGCUAAUCUGCGAUAAGCGCCGGUAAGGUGAUAUGAACCGUUAUAACCGGCGAUACCCGAAUGGGGAAACCCAGUGUGAUUCGUCACACUAUCAUUAACUGAAUCCAUAGGUUAAUGAGGCGAACCGGGGGAACUGAAACAUCUAAGUACCCCGAGGAAAAGAAAUCAACCGAGAUUCCCCCAGUAGCGGCGAGCGAACGGGGAGGAGCCCAGAGCCUGAAUCAGCAUGUGUGUUAGUGGAAGCGUCUGGAAAGGCGCGCGAUACAGGGUGACAGCCCCGUACACAAAAGCGCAUGUGCUGUGAGCUCGAUGAGUAGGGCGGGACACGUGGUAUCCUGUCUGAAUAUGGGGGGACCAUCCUCCAAGGCUAAAUACUCCUGACUGACCGAUAGUGAACCAGUACCGUGAGGGAAAGGCGAAAAGAACCCCGGCGAGGGGAGUGAAAAAGAACCUGAAACCGUGUACGUACAAGCAGUGGGAGCACAGGUUUACCUGUGUGACUGCGUACCUUUUGUAUAAUGGGUCAGCGACUUAUAUUCUGUAGCAAGGUUAACCGUAUAGGGGAGCCGGAGGGAAACCGAGUCUUAACCGGGCGUUAAGUUGCAGGGUAUAGACCCGAAACCCGGUGAUCUAGCCAUGGGCAGGUUGAAGGUUGGGUAACACUAACUGGAGGACCGAACCGACUAAUGUUGAAAAAUUAGCGGAUGACCUGUGGCUGGGGGUGAAAGGCCAAUCAAACCGGGAGAUAGCUGGUUCUCCCCGAAAGCUAUUUAGGUAGCGCCUCGUGAAUUCAUCUCCGGGGGUAGAGCACUGUUUCGGCUAGGGGGCCAUCCCGGCUUACCAACCCGAUGCAAACUGCGAAUACCGGAGAAUGUUAUCACGGGAGACACACGGCGGGUGCUAACGUCCGUCGUGAAGAGGGAAACAACCCAGACCGCCAGCUAAGGUCCCAAAGUCAUGGUUAAGUGGGAAACGAUGUGGGA